rnacentral:rRNA from 1 species
UACGUAGGGCGCAAGCGUUGUCCGGAAUUAUUGGGCGUAAAAGAGCUCGUAGGUGGUUUUGUCGCGUCUGUCGUGAAAAGCCCCAUGGCUUAACUGUGGGUCUGCGGUGGAUACGGGGCAGGCUAGAGGCAGGUAGGGGGAGAACGGAAUUCCCGGUGUAGCGGUGAAAUGCGCAGAUAUCGGGAGGAACACCGGUGGCGAAGGCGGCACUCUGGGCCGGUACUGACGCUGAGGAGCGAAAAGCGUGGGGGAGCAAACAGG